rnacentral:rRNA from 1 species
UACGAAGGGGGCUAGCGUUGUUCGGAUUCAUUGGGCGUAAAGGGUGCGUAGGUGGCGCGCUAAGUCGGGUGUGAAAUCUCGGAGCUUAACUCCGAAAUUGCAUUCGAUACUGGCGUGCUUGAGGACUGGAGAGGAGACUGGAAUUCAUGGUGUAGCAGUGAAAUGCGUAGAGAUCAUGAGGAAGACCAGUGGCGAAGGCGGGUCUCUGGACAGUUCCUGACACUGAGGCACGAAGGCCAGGGGAGCAAACGGG